UUCUACGGAGGGGUUGAAGUUGCUCUGC
rnacentral:piRNA from 1 species